ACGUAUUACAGCUCUUCAGCAACUAGUUUCCCCUUACGGAAAGACGGACACCGCAUCAGUUCUACUAGAGGGAAUGCAAUACAUUCAGUUUCUUCAAGAACAAGUCAAGGUUCUAAGCGCUCCAUAUCUGCAAGCAACAACACCCACUAAUACGCAGGUGAACAGAAUCUGCGAUCCCCUUUUUUACUCAGAUUGCUAAUUCAUAAUCUGUGAUCUGAAU